GGGUUUCCAUAGAAGUGAAGUAAAUUUUUAUUCAAACUACUUAUUAACAUCUUGAGGAAAAUGAAGACUGAAGGGAACAUGAUCUUGAUUUUUUUGAUUGGCACAAUAUGUACUGACAUGGUAUUUACUCAUGAACCAGGAAGAGGCCACCAUGGCCGUCAUCGUCCCCAGGGAGGGGGAGGGAGACCUCAUCACAGGCCCCCCAGUGAGAGGCCCUCAGGG